rnacentral:rRNA from 1 species
UACGAAGGGUGCAAACGUUGCUCGGAAUUAUUGGGCGUAAAGGGUGCGUAGGCGGCCUGACAAGUCUGAUGUGAAAUCCCUGGGCUCAACCCAGGGCCUGCAUCGGAAACUGUCGGGCUUGAGUAUGGGAGAGGUGAGUGGAAUUUCCGGUGUAGCGGUGAAAUGCGUAGAUAUCGGAAGGAACACCUGUGGCGAAAGCGGCUCACUGGACCAUUACUGACGCUGAGGCACGAAAGCUAGGGGAGCAAACAGG